GAUCCUGGCUCAGGAUGAACGCUAGCGACAGGCCUAACACAUGCAAGUCGAGGGGCAUCAGGUAUCAGCUUGCUGAUACGCUGGCGACCGGCGCACGGGUGAGUAACGCGUAUGGAAUCUGUCUGGUAACAGGGGGAUAACCCGGAGAAAUUCGGACUAAUACCCCAUGCCGCCGGUUUUUGCAUGAAAGCCGGCGAAGGGUAACCGGUUACAGGUGAUCAUGCGUUCCAUUAGCUGGUUGGCGGGG
rnacentral:rRNA from 1 species